UUACGGUCACAUCACGAAGAAAGAACCGGUUUAUAAUUGCUCACCGAAGUUAAGCAACGUAGAGCUUGGUCAGUACCUAGAUGGGUGACUACUUGGGAAUAUCAGGUGCGGUG